rnacentral:rRNA from 1 species
UACGUAGGGUGCAAGCGUUGUUCGGAAUUAUUGGGCGUAAAGCGCUUGUAGGCGGCACGUCAAGUCGCGUGUGAAAUCCCCAGGCUUAACCUGGGAAGUGCGCGCGAAACUGACGAGCUUGAGUGCCGGAGAGGGUCGCGGAAUUCCCGGUGUAGAGGUGAAAUUCGUAGAUAUCGGGAGGAACACCAGUGGCGAAGGCGGCGACCUGGACGGACACUGACGCUGAGACGCGAAAGCGUGGGGAGCAAACAGGG